GUCAGAGCCGCCGCCGCCGCGGAGCCGCCGCCGGGGAGGAGCAGCCGCUGCCGCCCAGGACUGGGCCCUUAGGGAGGAGGAGGCGAGAAGAUGGCGGACGACCCCAGUGCUGCCGAUAGGAACGUGGAGAUCUGGAAGAUCAAGAAGCUCAUUAAGAGCUUGGAGGCGGCCCGCGGGUGAGCGCUGCGUCCGGCACCCCCGUGCCCUCUUGGAUCCCGGACCCCUCAGGAUGGCCGCCCCCGCGCCGCAUGGCCGGAUGAGGAGAACCCGGCACUAGCCAACUCCCGCCUUCUGGACCUCUGGGUAGUAGCCUCUGACUGGAGGGCGAGGGUCGGCGCGGCUGGCCGGGAAAGAAGUCCUUACUCCUCUUGGUGGUAAUGAGCCUCUGGCUCCCACGGCUCAGAUCGCUCGGCCCCCUCUCCGGAUAAAGCCACUACUACUUUUGUAUUCCUCUCGGGCCUUUAAAUCCAACUCCUCACUUUUCGGGCUCCUGGUGCUGCCACCCAACUUGGGUGCUGUUAGGAGAAAGUACUUGGCGUUCCUUUCCGAACGCUCUACCCUGAUUUCCUCUCGCUUCACGUUCCUCCAACCAGGCCUCAUUAAAAUGGCCUCCCCCACUUGGACUUACAAGUCCUGUGUGGGUGAAGUUUUAAUAGGGUGUAAAAAGAGAGUUGACCAAAAGAGAUCUUCUUCUUGGCUCCCCUUUAUUUUUCUGGGUCUUAGACCUCUCCGAAGAUGACUUGCCCUAAGUUUUCUAGUUACCCGGAGCUUCCUGGGUUUAGCUGUUCUAAGACCCGCCUAUAAACCGAAAAUGCCAGCGUGUGCGGGAUGGAGUGGUGGUGUUUUGUCUGUUAUGGACAUAGUCCAGAGAAAUCCAGGUAGUAGAAUCCCUGAUGGCUUUUCGGUGGAACUUCUUGGGAAAAAUCACUCUCCAGUUGCCUGAUGGAGUAACAGUGCUUAAAACUGACUAAAAAUGAGCUUUCUUAAGUUUUCAUUAGUGAGUCUCUUAAGUGUUUCUAAGAAGUUGUAGGUGUGUGAGUAAACUAGGUUGAAAGUAGCCAUAUGUUUGUUUUGUGUGAGAGUGUGCCAGAGGUAUUUGUGUUCCUUCCAUGUGUUGCUAUGUGUGGUUGCUUUCCCAGUUACAGAAACUUUUUAGUACUUGGGGUGUCCUCACCCUAAAAGUGGAACAUUAUGUAUUCCUGCACUCAGAGCAUUCUUAUAACAGAGUGACGUUCCUCAGAUGCCCUGUGGAAAUUCAAUGUCAGCACACACACGAUACAUUCUGGUUUUCAGCCCGAGUUUGUCAUUGAUGUGUAGGUUGACACUGAUACCUUUACCACUUUAGCACUACGCUCAUUAACUUUUUUAAAUGGAUUCCGGUUGGUUCCUCUUAGUGCAUGGUUUUAAAGUGGUGGAGUUUCAUUCUUAAUAAGUGAGGAACAUUAAUUUCUGUUUGGGAUUAGACUUCUGAAAGUUUGGACAUAUUUGGUGUGUUGCUCAUUCCUUUGAUGAUUGUAAAAACUUGAGUUGAAGGUAGAUUUUUUUAUUAUUAUUAUGAUUAUUUCUUAGAAUUUUUUUUAACUUGAAUAUAAAGACUUUCUAAUAGGAACCGGUACCAUGUGGUAGAAUGGAAAUAAAAUCCCAAUGUAAAAAUAUAUCAUGAGUGUUAAUAGAGGUAGUUGUUCUUUGUGAUGCGUAGAAUUAGCCAGGUACUUUUGUUUCAGUAGGCUGUCUUCUGUUGUUACUUGAAGCUUUCUGUUUGGUAUUGACACUUAUGAAUAGCUGCUGUUAACACUGUUACAAGUUGAAACUGAACCUGUAGGUUGUCUGGGUGCUUUCUUAGGUAGUUUCCUGGAUUAGAAUGUGGAUACAAUGCAUUCUCUGAAUUCCUUACUAAUUUGUCUGGGUGAGGUAACAUUGAAGAGAACACUGCUUGCUAAGUAAUAUAUAUUUCUCCUGCUUGAUGAACAAAUUCAUUCUUAGAUUUAUUUGUUCCUAGCCAUAGUUCCCAACUAGAAGUUUUAAAGCUCUCUUAAAAGCCUUUGGAAACUUUAUUUUCUAGUUUAGAAAAGUUCAGUAAAGUUUGAAGGAUUACACUGUCUAAAAUAGUGUAUUCUAGGAAUUCUAAACAAUGUGACUUAACAUUUUGCUGUACUUUGCUUAAUUUUUCGAGGAUUCAGUUGCACCCUGAGCACAUGGUAAUUAAAGGCCUGUCCCUUUCUGGUGUUAGUCAGGGAAUCAAAAGUUUAUUGUAUGUGGCUGGGGAACUUUUUUUCUUAUUACAAUGGCAAGAUUUAAUUUAAUUCUGAGUUGUGUUAGACUUUAUGUUUUCAUAGUGAUUUAUACC
rnacentral:lncRNA from 1 species